GGCUGUGCCCGCGUGGGUGUGAGAGGAGAAGUUGUAGAAGAGCAGUGUAUUUAGCAAAGUGCAAAGCACUGACCGCAAGGAAAAGGUGUGGUGUUUAUGGUUUCCCCCACAAAAGUCCAUCUAUGAAAGUGGAAGAUGUUGUGUCUUCAGGGGCUUUUUUCAGCCUGGCUAUGUGAAUUAUGGACGCAAUUUUUUUUUUCUUCUCUGUGUCUCUGGUGCAUUUAGGUUAGUAAGUCUGUGUGUGGCAUGCUCUGAAGUCAUAAAAGUAAUACAUAGCAGAGCAGUGGUAGCUUGUGUGGGACCAAAGAGCUUGUCACAGCACUGCGCAAGCAAAGAUGGCUGAAAGUGUUGAGUUGCAGGGUGCCUCUUGCCAGGUGUUGGCACUUGCUGUGCAUUGCAUUUGUCCACUUGGCAACAAGUUCUGGAUGCAAAAAUAUUCUUUUGCUUUCUUUGAACAUACAGGAGAGGUGGGCUGACCCUGAACAACCAGACAUGCUAUGUGCUUGCUUCCUGCCUUGUUAGGACAGCGGAGAGAACUGGAGUGGCAGACACAAAAUAGAAGUCGUGAGUCAAGAUUAAAAAAAAAAAAAAGUCAGUAAAUUAAAGGGGAGAGAAAAAGAAGUAAGAAUGGGGGAGAAAAUUAUGCAAUGGUAAUUGCUCACCAUUUCUUUCCACCAAACCAAUGCUUAGACAAUCUUUGAGUAACAGCUACUUGGGAAAGACUGUUCCUCACACUUUGAUCCUAUAUUUUACUGUAUGUGUGAUAUAAUAUGGUGUGGAGCAUCUCUUUGGUUAGUUUGGGCUAGCUUUCCCUUCCCAGCCUCUUGCCCACCCUCAGACUCCUAGCUGUGGGGCAGAGUGAGAAAUGGAGAAGGCCUUGAUGCUGGAGAAGAGGAGGCUCUGGGGAGACCUUAUCACUCCCUAUAAUUACCUGAAGGGAGGUUGUAGUGAGCUGGGGAUUGACCUCUUCUCUGCUGUCACUAGUGAUGGGACUAGAGGGAAAGGCCUUAAAUUGCACCAGGGGAGAUUCAGUGUGAGCAUUAAGAAAUACUGCUUCUCCAAAAGAGCGGUCAGGCACUGGAAUGGGCUGCCCAGGGUGGUGGUGAAGCCACCAACCCUGGAGGUCUUCAAGGAACGUUUAGGCGUUGUGCUGAGGGAUGUGGUUUAGCGAGAACUAUUGGUGAUAGGUAGAUGGCUGGACUGGAUGAUCUUGUAGGUCUUUUCCAACGUUGGUGAUUCUAUGUGUGCACGGCUCAGCAACAGCUAAAACACUGCCCAGUUAUUAACAGCAGUUAUAGCAGAGAUGCUGAGUCAUGGCCUGAACCAGUGAUUGAGCACCUGGUGGAAAGGCAGGGCCAACCCAGGGAAGCUCAGGUGCAAGCAAUGUUCCUGAGUAACUGGAACGAGUGCAACCAGGAUCCACCCCCUCACAGACUUUAUUUAAGAUUUGGCAGUGGGCAUGAGAGUGUUUUGCUGGAGAUCUUCACCUACGUGAGGCCUUCUAAAGCGCACUGUCUUGGUGAGCAUUUGCCUGUAUUCCCAAGGAGGCUAAUCCAUCCUAGAUACAGUACGUGUAACUUCCGGGAAGUCUAAAGUGCUUCAACGAUAAGGAACGUG
ensembl:lncRNA